AGCAGCCGCGGUAAUUCCAGCUCCAAUAGCGUAUAUUAAAGUUGUUGCAGUAAAAAGCUCGUAGUUGAAUUUCGGGGUUAGUAGGUUGGUCAUGCCACUGGUAUGUACUGGUCUCACUGAUUCCUCCUUCCUGAUGAACCGUAAUGCCAUUAAUUUGGUGUUGCGGGGAGACUGGACUGUUACUUUGAAAAAAUUAGAGUGUUUAAAGCAGGCUCACGCUUGAAUACAUUAGCAUGGAAUAAUGAAAUAGGACGUUUGAUUCUAUUUUGUUGGUUUCUAGGAUCGACGUAAUGAUUAAUAGGGAUAGUUGGGGGCAUUAGUAUUCAAUUGUCAGAGGUGAAAUUCUUGGAUUUAUUGAAGACUAACUACUGCGAAAGCAUUUGCCAAGGAUGUUUUCAUUAAUCAAGAACGAAAGUUAGGGGAUCGAAGACGAUCAGAUACCGUCGUAGUCUUAACCAUAAACUAUGCCGACUAGGGAUCGGAUGAUGUAAUUUUUAAUGUACUCAUUCGGACGUCCG
rnacentral:rRNA from 1 species